AAAACCACACCGGCCUUCCUUCCCUCCGCCUCAAUCUACGACAUAUCCGCAAGCUCAUCUAAUGGAGAUACCGACUGCAACUCCGAUGACGGAAACUUUGACUGAUCCUACAACAUAUCCUUGGAUAAUGGACUCGGGCUUGACCGCACACCUAUCCACCACAUCAGGACCUUGCAACUCGGAAAAUUCUUUUCCGAUGUGAUAGCAAGGGUGAUAUUUGCUCUCUUCCAGCUUCAUUCAAUAAAACACAUCCUCAAUCCACCGCUCUCCUUGAUUCAACACCUUCACUAUGGCACAAACGUCUAGCACACACUAAUAAUGCUAGCCUUGAUUCAAUUUUAUCUAAAUCUUUGGGUUUUUGUAAUAACAAUAAGCUCUCGCAGCCUUGUGAACCUUGCUAUUUGAGAAAACAAAUGAAGUUGCCUUUUGAUGAUUCCA